CGAAGGGGGCUAGCGUUGUUCGGAAUUACUGGGCGUAAAGCGCGCGCAGGCGGUCUUCCAAGUCAGUGGUGAAAGCCCGGAGCUCAACUCCGGAACUGCCAUUGAAACUGUAAGACUUGAGGAUGAGAGAGGUGAGUGGAAUUCCCAGUGUAGAGGUGAAAUUCGUAGAUAUUGGGAAGAACACCGGUGGCGAAGGCGGCUCACUGGCUCAUAUCUGACGCUCAGGCGCGACAGCGUGGGGAUCAAACAGGAUUAGAUACCCUGGUAGUCCACGCCGUAAACGAUGAAUGCUAGCCGUUGGGCAGCUUGCUGUUCAGUGGCGCAGCUAACGCAUUAAGCAUUCCGCCUGGGGAGUACGGCCGCAAGGUUG
rnacentral:rRNA from 1 species